UAAGACCAAUAAUAUUAUUUAUGGGAAUAAUUUUGAUUUCCAUCUUCCCAGUGGACCAAGGACAUACAAAACCUUACAUUUUUACCUAAGCUUGAGCUCCAGGCGGAUUUCCCUAUCUUCCUUAUGCAUUUCUUAUUGGAUUUGAUUAAUAAGUAAACUAAUACUGAAUAUUAAUAAAAUGUCGAUGCUACUGGCACCAGUCAUGAACAAACUGAAUAUGUGUAUGAUAGUAGGAGGGAACGACAGACAAUACUUCGACGUAGGAUACCUACCACAGUGAACCAAACAAGAUGGAUUCCAUCGGGAAGAAGAAAACGUGACAGACCUCUAAGAAGAUGGAGACGAUACAAAACCCUACAUUUUUACCUGGAUUUGAGCUUCAGACGGAUUUCCCUAUCUUCCUUGCGCAUUUCUUACAGGAUUCGAUUAAUAAGUGAACUGAUACUGAAUAUUAAUAAAAUGUCGAUGUUACUGGUACCAGUCAUGAACAAACUGAAUAUGUGUAUGAUAGUAGGAGGGAACGACAGUCAAUACCUCGACGUAGGAUACUUACCACAAUGAACCAAACAAGAUGGAUUCCAUCGGGAAGAAGAAAACGUGACAGACCUCCAAGAAGAUGGACACAGUACGAUAUUGAUGCAGCCGAAAGAGCCCGCUAUAAAAGGUUCCCUUUUUCUUUUUUAGAUACAAAACCCUACAUUUUUACCUGGAUUUGAGCUUCAGACGGAUUUCCCUAUCUUCCUUGCGCAUUUCUUACAGGAUUCGAUUAAUAAGUAAACUGAUACUGAAUAUUAAUGAAACGU